rnacentral:misc_RNA from 1 species
UUUCCGUAGGUGAACCUGCGGAAGGAUCAUUACCAAAUAUUCAACAAGCACCUCCUUGUAGCAAGGUUUGGGAGAGGGACCUUUGGUUCUCCCUCCAUCAUCCACCCUGCUACGUUUCUCUAUUUUUACCAAACCUGUCGCAUGUCAGUGGCAUCCUGUGUGCCCUUAAAUAUACAUAAAUAUAACUUUCAACAACGGAUCUCUUGGCUCUC